UGGGGAAUUUUGGACAAUGGGCGCAAGCCUGAUCCAGCCAUGCCGCGUGCGGGAAGAAGGCCUUCGGGUUGUAAACCGCUUUUGUCAGGGAAGAAAUCUUCUGAGUUAAUACCUCGGGAGGAUGACGGUACCUGAAGAAUAAGCACCGGCUAACUACGUGCCAGCAGCCGCGGUAAUACGUAGGGUGCAAGCGUUAAUCGGAAUUACUGGGCGUAAAGCGUGCGCAGGCGGUUUUGUAAGACAGAGGUGAAAUCCCCGGGCUCAACCUGGGAACUGCCUUUGUGACUGCAAGGCUUGAGUGCGGCAGAGGGGGAUGGAAUUCCGCGUGUAGCAGUGAAAUGCGUAGAUAUGCGGAGGAACACCGAUGGCGAAGGCAAUCCCCUGGGCCUGCACUGACGCUCAUGCACGAAAGCGUGGGGAGCAAACAGGAUUAGAUACCCUGGUAGUCCACGCCCUAAAACGAUGUCAACUGGUUGUUGGGAAGGUUCCUUCUCAGUAACGUAGCUAACGCGUGAAGUUGACCGCCUGGGGAGUACGGCCGCAAGGUUGAAACUUAAAUGAAUUGACGGGGUCAU
rnacentral:rRNA from 1 species